CUUAGCUCAGUUGGAUAGAGCAACGGCCUUCUAAGCCGUGGGUCGCAGGUUCGAAUCCUGCAGGG
rnacentral:tRNA from 1 species